GUAUAACUGUGUGUGAUGUCCCUUCUCUUACAAAAGUCUCUGUUUGCUUUGCAGCAAGGGAAGCCCUAUGUCUUUGACAGAGUGUUACCUCCCAACACAACCCAGGAGCAAGUUUAUAAUGCCUGUGCCAAGCAGAUUGUUAAAGAUGUUCUUGAAGGCUACAAUGGCACAAUCUUCGCUUAUGGGCAGACGUCGUCAGGAAAGACACACACUAUGGAGGGGAAGCUGCAUGACCCUCAGCUAAUGGGAAUCAUUCCGAGAAUUGCACACGACAUCUUUGAUCACAUCUAUUCCAUGGAUGAGAACCUGGAGUUUCAUAUAAAGGUUUCCUACUUUGAGAUCUAUUUGGACAAAAUAAGGGACCUCCUUGAUGUGUCAAAGACAAACCUCGCUGUACAUGAAGAUAAGAACAGAGUUCCAUACGUGAAGGGUUGUACAGAAAGAUUUGUAUCUAGUCCUGAGGAGGUGUUGGAUGUCAUUGAUGAAGGGAAAGCUAACCGCCACGUGGCUGUUACAAAUAUGAAUGAACACAGCUCUAGAAGUCACAGUAUCUUCCUUAUUAAUAUUAAACAAGAAAAUGUGGAAACUGAGAAGAAACUUAGUGGAAAACUGUACCUGGUAGACUUGGCUGGAAGUGAGAAGGUCAGCAAAACUGGAGCGGAGGGUGCUGUUCUUGAUGAAGCUAAAAAUAUCAAUAAGUCUUUGUCUGCUUUAGGCAACGUGAUAUCUGCCUUGGCAGAAGGAACUAAAACUCAUGUUCCAUACCGUGACAGCAAAAUGACCCGGAUACUUCAGGAUUCCCUCGGUGGAAACUGCAGAACCACCAUUGUUAUAUGCUGUUCUCCUUCUAUUUUCAAUGAAGCAGAAACAAAGUCGACCCUGAUGUUUGGACAGCGAGCUAAGACCAUUAAGAACACAGUCUCUGUGAAUCUGGAGCUGACUGCAGAGGAGUGGAAGAAAAAGUACGAGAAGGAAAAAGACAAAAACAAGAGUCUAAAGAAUGUUAUCCAGCAUCUGGAACUGGAACUGAACAGGUGGAGAAAUGGAGAAGCUGUGCCUGAAGACGAACAGAUCAGUGCCAAAGACCAGAAGAACCUGGAGCCGUGUGAUAACACACCAAUCAUUGACAACAUCACACCUGUGGUUGCCAGCAUCUCAACAGAGGAAAAGCAGAAGUAUGAUGAGGAGAUUGCCAGUCUCUACAGGCAGCUGGAUGAUAAGGAUGAUGAAAUCAAUCAGCAGAGCCAGUUGGCUGAAAAGCUAAAACAGCAAAUGUUGGAUCAAGAGGAGCUUUUGGCCUCCACUAGGAGAGAUUAUGAGAAGAUUCAGGAGGAACUCACCCGUCUUCAGAUCGAGAAUGAAGCUGCAAAGGACGAAGUGAAAGAGGUCCUUCAAGCCCUGGAAGAACUAGCUGUCAAUUAUGACCAGAAAUCCCAAGAAGUGGAGGACAAAACAAGAGCCAACGAGCAGCUGGCUGAUGAACUGGCACAGAAGAGUACGGUUCUGUCAGCAACCCAGAGGGAGCUGGGCCAGCUGCAGGAGCUCAGUAACCAUCAGAAGAAGAGAGCCACAGAAAUCUUAAACUUGCUGCUUAAAGACCUGGGAGAGAUCGGAGGGAUCAUUGGCACUAAUGAUGUUAAAACAUUAGCAGAUGUGAACGGGGUGAUUGAAGAGGAGUUCACCAUGGCACGGCUUUACAUCAGCAAGAUGAAGUCUGAGGUGAAAUCUCUGGUGAACCGCAGCAAGCAGCUGGAGAGUGCCCAGAUAGAUUCCAACAGGAAAAUGAAUGCCAGCGAGAGGGAGCUUGCAGCUUGCCAGCUCCUCAUUUCACAGCAUGAAGCAAAGAUCAAGUCCCUGACAGACUACAUGCAAAACAUGGAGCAGAAGAGAAGGCAGCUGGAAGAGUCCCAGGAUUCCCUCAACGAAGAGCUUGCCAAGUUACGUGCUCAAGAAAAAAUGCAUGAAGUCAGUUUCAAAGAUAAGGAGAAGGAGCACCUGACCCGGCUUCAGGAUGCAGAAGAAAUGAAGAAGGCACUGGAGCAGCAGAUGGAGAGUCACAGGGAAGCCCAUCAGAAGCAGCUGUCCAGGCUGAGAGAUGAAAUUGAAGAGAAGCAGAAAACAAUCGAUGAAAUUAGAGAUAUGAAUCAGAAGCUCCAACUGGAACAAGAGAAGCUGAGUGCUGAUUAUGAUAAAUUAAAAAUUGAGGACCAGGAGAGAGAAAUGAAACUGGAAAAGCUCAUACUGCUUAAUGACAAAAGGGAACAAGCAAGAGAAGAUCUUAAGGGACUGGAGGAAACAGUGGCAAGAGAACUUCAGACUCUUCAUAAUCUACGCAAACUGUUUGUUCAAGAUCUCACCACUCGUGUUAAAAAAAGCGUUGAGCUUGACAGUGACGAUGGAGGCGGAAGUGCUGCGCAGAAGCAGAAAAUUUCCUUUCUUGAGAACAACCUGGAACAGCUUACUAAGGUUCACAAACAGUUGGUACGUGAUAAUGCAGAUCUUCGUUGUGAGCUUCCUAAGCUGGAAAAACGACUUAGAGCUACGGCAGAGAGAGUUAAGGCCCUGGAGAGUGCACUGAAGGAGGCCAAGGAGAACGCCAUGCGAGACCGCAAGAGGUACCAGCAGGAGGUGGAUCGUAUUAAGGAGGCUGUAAGAGCCAAAAACAUGGCACGGAGAGCACACUCUGCUCAAAUCGCCAAGCCCAUCCGCCCAGGUCAUUACCCAGCGUCGUCUCCAACAGCUGUCCAUGCCAUCCGAGGGGGAGGGAUGUCCAACUCCAGCUACUAUCACAGCACCAAAUAGAUGAGAAGUCAGUCCCACUUAGCAUGUUACAGACCAUCAUUAAGUCACUACUUUCUUUUAUCCCCCUCUUCAACCUGGUCCACAUUCUAUUCAUCCUGCGCUUCCUACGCCAUCUGCGACGCACUGGCCAUAGGUAUUUUGAGCUUCGUAGGAUCUCCACGUGUACAGAAGUCUUCAGCUCAACUCCUCUUCAGAUACUUGUACAAUGUAUUUAACGUAACCAUCUCAGUACCCACAGGAAGUCUGCCACCCAGAAUGGCACCGACGGUGUGUGACCCCCUGGCACUGCUUAGGCUGGGGCUUCUCUGCUCAGCCUGAUGCUGUUGGAAGACCUCUGUCACAUCAGUAAAUCCCACCUUCCGGCAUCCAAGAAUUAAUUAUUCGGUGACCAAGUGCCAUCAAAGGCAGGCUGAUUUUCAAGUUGUGAUUUGUAUAGCGCAAAUGAAACUUCACAUCUAAGAUGUCUUGCAUGGUUUUGGUGGAAACACUUUUCACAAAUGGAAACCAUACUUCAGAUGGAACUAAAGUGCGUACUGUUCUUUUUCAAGGAAUAAAAUACUGUUUCCUGCUCAGCUGAGCUUCUCUCAAUGAUAUCACAGAACCAUAGAAUGACCUGGGUUGCAAAGGACCACAGUGCUCAUCCAGUUCCAACCCCUGCUGUGUGCAGGGUCGCCAACCAGCAGCCCAGGCUGCCCAGAGCCACAUCCAGCCUGGCCUAGAAUGCCUGCAGGGAUGGGGCAUCCACAACCUCCUUGGGCAACCUGUUCUACUGCGUCACCAUCCUCUUGAGUUUCUCCUUGAAUUCAUGUUUCAUUGACUUGUUUUCUCAAAAGCAAGGAAAGUUAAACCUGGGAAGAUCUCGGCUGACACAUCUGAAGGUUGUGUUUUACUCAACAAGGGUGAGAUCGGAUUAUCCUGAAAAUAUUGAAAAUCAAAAAAGUAAAAACAAACAAACAAAAAAAACCCGCCCAAACACCUUUACAAUGAUGGUUUCUGCCAAGAGAACCUAAGGAGUAGCUUUUAAACUGCAUUUCACAAUGCCUUAUGCAGUAAGGCACACGUUUGCCCGACGUUUCAAUAAAUAAGGCUUGGAGUUGUAAUAAAGAAUUUCAGCUGAAUUGCAAUAAACGGCAUUCGAACCAAUUGCUCACGGAGGCCCAAAAGAACAAAAAAAGGCCUGAUCCAAUUUCCAGUAUCAGAGGAGAAAGACCUUGGGUCAGCAUGAAGGUGUGCCCCAACUGCAGUCAGUGAGUUGGCAGGAUGAUUUGAACCUCCUCUUGCUUUGACUUUCCUCUUUGCUGUGCCUGCGUGAACCGAAGCGCACCGGCCGACAUCUGCUGCACGGGAUGGGACACGGCUGCAGGGCUCUGCUCACCAUCUCGUCCAUUGGAACAGGUUUUGUGGUGGGAGAACCGCAGGGGUUCUGUAGAAUUAUCCAUGUCUAGUUUGUAAAGUGUGUGCCGUGUACUGCAGACGUGUAUUCUCUGGGCUCUAUGUAUCUUUACAGUAGUGUUCAUUUUAGGAAAAAAAAAUAAUAAUAAAGUGUGGACACCUUUUGCUGGUAACAAGGGGAAAUUUUUUUUUUUGCCAUUGCAUCAAGCAAUGCUAAAUUGUAUUAAUCUCUUGAUAGCAGAUCUGAACCCUUCUUCCCCAUCCCGUGGAGAUAAGUAUUUUAUCUUCGUUCCACAGUUCUCUUGGAUUCGGGUGGGUACGCUGGCAGACUGCAUGAUGUAUCAUUUGAAAACCGUUACAGUGGAAAAUAAAACCGAGCUAAACUUUG